rnacentral:rRNA from 1 species
AUGGCUGAAUGCUUCAAUAGGGUGCUCAAGGGUGCACGUGCAUUACCCGUGACAGCAAUAGUUCAAUACACAUUUGACAAGAUGAAUGCGUACUUUCUAAAUUACUCAAUGGAAACGGAUGCACAGAUAGCGGGUGAGAACAAGCGCAAGUACAAGUACAAGUUCCCACCCAAGGUUGAUGAAUGGUUGGAAUUUCAAUCACGGAAGGCGGACUCACAAGAAGCUAUACUAUAUAACAACGAAGAUUGGAAGUACGAAGUGAAAGAGCCAGGAGGAACUACAAACUAUGGUCGCCUACAUGGAGGUUGGGCUUUCAAGGUCUCGUUAACACGGUGUGAUUGCUCUUGCGGGAGGCCAUUGUUUCUUCAUCUCCCAUGCUCACACUUGUAUACCGCCGGCCGCGUUAGGAAUUUGGACGUCAAUCAGCCCCUCACCAUGAGGGAGUCGGAGUUCCCAAUCAUGACGGUCAAGAAUACAUGGGCUCCCUGA